rnacentral:rRNA from 1 species
UACGGAGGGUGCAAGCGUUAUCCGGAUUCACUGGGUUUAAAGGGUGCGUAGGUGGGUCUGUAAGUCAGUGGUGAAAUCUCCAAGCUUAACUUGGAACUGCCGUUGAUACUAUAGAUCUUGAAUGUUGUGGAGGUGAGCGGAAUAUGUCAUGUAGCGGUGAAAUGCUUAGAUAUGACAUAGAACACCAAUUGCGAAGGCAGCUCACUAACACAAAGAUUGACACUGAGGCACGAAAGCGUGGGGAUCAAACAGG